UUCCAAAUAGCUAGGGCUUUCUUCACAGGAGAGGCAAUUUGAAAACUGCCAUGAUGGACAAUAGUUGGGAACAGAAGAGAUGGGUUCUGCAUCAAAAAGUCCUAGGAGAGAAGGUAAACCAGACAGUAGCAGAUUAUGUCUUCACAAAGGGCAGGUGUUGCCCCAGGUCAGGUUUCAGUAUUCUCAUAUGUUCAGUAGCCCUACAGAUUUAGACAAAGAAAAAGGUCCUUCCAGUUCAGGGUGAAUAUUCUAGGGAAGCAGACACUAGAAGGAAAAUGAUCAAAAGCAUGCAAAUAACUUGGGGAAAUCUAGUCCCUUUGGAAAGCUCCAAAAAUCUGUAAAUACGGCUGGAAACAAUUCUGGCUCCAGCCGUUUCAGACAGGGAUCCAGCUGGAAACUCCCUCAGACUCUUGAUCCUCUAGCCUCCCUUCAAAUGUCAGCUGUUUACAGACCUAGAAGUUUACCAUGCAGUGAUUUAUGCUUCACAGCUUGGCAGAUGGCUUGCGCUUUUGCCUCACCCAGUCUUCAGAUGCAAGGUAGCUACAUCUAGAGGAAGAAGAGCGUAACAGGAGAACAAUUUGCUCUUUAAUACUCCAAACAGGCAGUCAGGAGACAAACCUCUGAGCAGACAAAAUGGAGCAAGUCAAUGAUAACGUGGCAUUGCACCCACAUAGUGUUAUGAGUGAGUUCCUAGAAAGCCAUAGGGUCAGAUUCUCAACGUACUGCAACGCUCUUGCUGGGGUAUGAAAGCAUAUCUGACUCUUCAGAAUGAUCACCUUUUCAUGCUGCGUUCAAAUAUGGUUAAAAGCAAAGUCUGUCCACAUGGAGGGGCACAGGCCUGAAGGCAAUGGAACUGCACAUAGGUAGAGAGUCACCCAGAGUCCCAGUAGUUUGCAAGCUCAGCGUGGCAGUGUUUAGUUGGAUGUGGGGAGGAGGAAGGAACGAUACAUAAACAGAUGGAGACUUUCCAGCCUGAAAAAGCUGUGGUAUGUCUCACAGUUCUUUAUUAGCAUAAGCAAAUCGAUUCCUAAAUAUUGAUGGAUGUCCAUACAAUGUAUAUAUCCACACCUGCCCAACCUUUUAGGUCUCUGCUUUGGCUGUAGAAUAAUUGAAGGAUCUGUACGCUCAAGCUGCUAUACCCUCCACCCCUCUCCACUUUCCUUGGAUAUUCACAUAGAGGAGGAAGAAACUCUUUGUGUUGCUGAAAACCUGACACUCCUCUUGCUCCCAUGGAUGCUGCCAGGAAAGUGAGAACAGCCAGCUGCUGGAGCUCAGCAAAGUGCUCCAGUGCAAUCUGACCCUCUAGAUCCAUUCAGACCCACAGACUGGAGCCUGGAGACGGUGAUGCCAGCAGUGUUAUUCCCUAGGGGAUGAGCAUCCCUUAUUGAAGGAGACCUCUCUCCUUGCUGUAGGAAAAUAAACUGCACAACUGAGAGCAUGUGAUCGUGCUCCUGAAUGGGGUAAUAUGUACCCUGCUGGCCUCACAGGAUCCUCAUCUGCAUUUUGUGCGCUCCUUUCAGGCGCUGAUUGGCUGCAUUGCCUGUUAUCUGGUGGUGCCUGCCUCAACCAAGGGCUGGAAAGAUUCUGGGCUGUGGGAAAAAUUGGGAAGGGGGUGGGAAGGGACAUGUGGAUGGGCUUUGUACCAACCUGGGUGAGGUGGAGACACAGACUCUGGAAACUGGAUGCUGCUGCUGCCCCAGGAAACCUGACCAAAGAGAAGGGAAGAAAAGGAAUUGCAGAUACUGUAACAUAGGAGAGCGCUCUUCUGUGUGCUGAGGCUGAUCAGCUUUCUAUGCAGUCAGCUGCAAUGAGGUGCAGGAGAUGGAGAUAAAUCUGAAAGCUAUCCAAAGCUGUAAUGUCAUGAACCAGGAAGAGGUAAUGAUUUACCAAGCUCUUUAUGCAAAUCCCUAAGAGUGGCUGGAGCUAGAGGACUCCUACAAAGACUGGAAAAGUGAGAGAGUGCAUGUGUGUGUACACACACAGAUCUCCAUCCCCUCCUUUAGAAGGGAUGGGGCUACGAGCUGCCCAGAUGGUACUGAAAAACAUUAGAGACCUGAAUUUAGUUGAGUAUACUUGAAUACUAUGCUAAGGAGCCCUAAUGGAGCAGGAUGGAGCCUUGCUUAAGGGGUCUUUGCCCAUGCUUUGUUUUCUUCCUUUCUGCUAGACAAACUUUGGGGCUGUUGCUUCAGCCUGACUAUGCCAUAUUUUACAUGGGGGGCAGUUACCAUGGCCUGCCUUGCUUAUCCAAUGUAAUGAUACCGGAGUUGCUGUUGGACCAAAACUUGCCCAUAUUGGCCCUUUUGUUGCAGAGUGAGUUAUGUUUCUGAAGCACCAGUUCUGCUUUCUCCCCGCACUAAAGACUUGUCACCAAAGAAGUGAUGAUUUAUGUUGUGUUUGGAUCACUGCUGCAUUUACUCUGGCUGAAUAUUCUUCUCCCCCAAAUUCACCAGCCUGCUACACUCAGGCAGUCUACUUGACCCAGAGAUUACAGUCUUGGAGAGAAAGAUUAAGAGACAAGGCAGACACCACAAGAGUUUUACUUACUGCUGCACUGCUUGCUGCUUGUCGUGCUCUUCUCUGCUGCAGUAACUCCUUAACUGUAAUCUUUACUCUAACACCUUGAUAUACCUUGGGCUUUCCUGAAAGUAUGUGUGGGAAAAAAUACUUAAGAUUGAAGACUUUCAAAACCUAGAGCAAAUAAAGCAUUUUUUUUUCAGUCAUGCUUUACAUGGAGUCUACUUAGAGCAAACAUGAUUAACUUGUCAUUGAUAAGUCACUUGUAAUCACAGUUUAUAGCCCUCUUCAAUGCCUGCUUUUCAAGCCUGCGGCAAACAGACAUUUCUGGAAAAGAUGGUGUUGAUUAUAUUCGGUAAUCACAUGUGUUUUAUUUGUUCCUAUUGCAUUGUCUCCCCCCCCCUCCCUGGUGUACUAAUACCAAGCUCCAUCUGGUGCUUGGUAUUUUAAUUUAUUGAAUCUAUAUAAAAUUCCUAUCAUAUUUGUCUCCCUUAGGACCUGAAAAUAAAUCUGUCAAGCCCUUCAUCUGGCAGAUGAGGACCAGGAACAAAACAAUGGAAAAAUGUGGGCAGUUACUCAGAGGUCUAAACAAAACCCAAAUAAAAUGACUGCUUUCAUGAA